rnacentral:lncRNA from 1 species
CGUCUUCUUUCGAAGAUUGCUUGUGAAUUAGCUUUGCUCAAUCAAUUCAAGGUUACCUAUAUUUGUGAUGGAGUGAAUUUUUGUGACUCUUGAAAGAAGAAUGAGUCAAAUAAAGAUAAAAGGACUUGAAUCAAGAAGUUAUCGACGAAUUAAGAUGUGAAAAGUAAAAGAAAAGACGCACAUAAAAAUCGAACUAAAAAAAUUAAGUAAUAAAAGUAGAAGAAAUUUACUCAUUAUUACUUAAUUUAAAAAAAAGAAAAAAAGAAUUUAAUAUUCAGAAAUCAGUUAACAAUUAAUUAAAGUUGUUGUUUAGUUGUUAAAUAGUAGAGAAAUAAAAAAGAAGUGCGAA